CGGGGCCAUGUUCGUGUCGUCUGGUAGCGCCAAGAAGAUGGGCCGGCGCUCCUGCGACAACGUCCGCGGUCCAGAAGACGGGGGCCGGGCCACGGCGAAUUCUCCGCCCGUCAACGUCAAUACGAACACGCUGGAGGCGCAGCUAUUGAACGGGAGGUAGUGGGAAUGGAGUACGAAGAAAUCAUACUUAGAAC